AUCUAUAGCCAUGCUACCCUGAACAAGCCUGAUCCCGUCAGAUCUGGAAGCUAAACAGUGUUGGGCCUGGUUAGUACUUGGGUAGGAGACCAUAUAACCAUAUAAGAAGACCAGGUGCUAUAGGUG
rnacentral:rRNA from 1 species